GUUACAAUGAACUGGUUUCACACUGUAACAUAUGGCGAUACGAACCGUUACAAUGAACUGGUUUCACACUGUAACAUAUGGCGAUACGAACCGUUACAAUGAACUGGUUUCACACUGUAACAUACGGCGAUACGAACCGUUACAAUGAACUGGUUUCACACUGUAACAUAUGGCGAUACGAACCGUUACAAUGAACUGGUUUCACACUGUAACAUACGGUGAUACGAACCGUUAC